rnacentral:rRNA from 1 species
CGGAUCUGUAAGUCCGUUGUGAAAUCCACGCGCUUAACGUGUGGGCGUGCAACGGAUACUGCAGGUCUAGGAACCGGAGGGUGUCGAGGCUAUUCCCGGGGUAGGAGUGAAAUCCUAAAAUCCCGGGAGGAGCGCCUGUGGCGAAAGCGCUCGACAACUACGGAUUCGACGGUGAGGAACGAAAGCCGGGGGAGCAAAGCGGAUUAGAUACCCGCGUAGUCCCGGCCGUAAACAAUGUGCGUUUGAUGUCAGACAACCCUUGUGGUUGUUUGGUGCCGAAGGAAAACCGUUAAACGCACCGCCUGGGGA